rnacentral:rRNA from 1 species
ACUGCUCAGUAACACGUGGAUAACCUGCCCUAGGGGAGGGGAUAACCCCGGGAAACUGGGGAUAAUACCCUAUAGGUUACAGAUGCUGGAAUGCCCUGUAACCAAAAGCUCCGGCGCCCUAGGAUGGAUCUGCGGCCGAUUAGGUUGUUGUUGGGGUAACGGCCCAACAAGCCCGUAAUCGGUACGGGUUGUGGGAGCAAGAGCCCGGAGUUGGAUUCUGAGACACGAAUCCAGGCCCUACGGGGCGCAGCAGGCGCGAAACCUUUACAAUGCGGGCAACCGUGAUAAGGGAACCUCGAGUGCCUGUAAACGCAGGCUGUUCAGGUGUUUAAAACGCACCUGGAGAAAGGGCCGGGCAAGACCGGUGCCAGCCGCCGCGGUAAUACCGGCGGCUCGAGUGGUGGCCGCUUUUAUUGGGCUUAAAGCGUUCGUAGCUGGGUUGUUAAGUCUCUUGGGAAAUCUGGCGGCUUAACCGUCAGGCGUCUAAGGGAUACUGGCAAUCUUGGAACCGGGAGAGGUGAGGGGUACUUCGGGGGUAGGGGUGAAAUCCUGUAAUCCUCGAGGGACCACCUGUGGCGAAGGCGCCUCACCAGAACGGCUUCGACAGUGAGGGACGAAAGCUGGGGGAGCAAAACGGAUUAGAUACCCGGGUAGUCCCAGCCGUAAACGAUGCGCGUUAGGUGUAUCGGUGACCACGAGUUACCGAGGUGCCGAAGGGAAACCGUGAAACGCGCCGCCUGGGAAGUACGGUCGCAAGGCUGAAACUUAAAGGAAUUGGCGGGGGAGCAC